rnacentral:rRNA from 1 species
AAGGGCACCACAAGAACGCGUGGAGCAUGUGGCUUAAUUUGACUCAACGCGGGAAAUCUUACCGGGUCCGGACACACUGAGGAUUGACAGGCAAUAUUAUAAUUUUUUAAUUGGAAUAAAUUUUUAUUAAUUUAUUUUUUUUAUUUUUUAUAUGUUAAAUAUGCUAGUCCUUUCAUGAUUAUGUGAUAGGUGGUGCAUGGCCGUUCUUAGUUCGUGGAGUGAUCUGUCUGCUUAAUUGCGUUUCACUAUUGGGCUUAUAUAAUUACGUAUGUUGUUAACGCUUUGACCCCUUUCUACGGAUUGUGCGUGUCUUUGUCUCGUUUAACUCAUACAAUUAAGCCCUGAAAGCAACGAACGUGACCGCAACCUCUUGUUGCUCUCAUAUUACCUUAUACUGCAUAAUAUUUGAAUAAUUUAUUUUAUUUUUUUUUAUGUUUAAGAGAGCUUUCUAAACUAGAGGGACCGCUGUUACUUUCUUAAACCAGAGGAAGGUUGCGGCAAUAACAGGUCUGUGAUGCCCUUAGAUGUUCCGGGCUGCACACGUGCUACAAUGAUUAUUGCAGUGAGCAUCUCAUUUUUUACACAUCGCAUGCGCGAGUCCAUUUAUUCAGAUAUCUUUCAUUUACUUUCGGGUGAAUGUAGUGUUUGCUUUAAAUGUGUAUCUCUGCGCGCGAUAAAGCCUGCUUCGAAAGUAAGUGGGUAAUCAAUUAGAAGUAAUGAUUUCCUUUUUUUUUCUGCACACAUAUAUAUGGCACUUAUACCCGGGUAACCUUGUUGUUACUUUUGUGCGUAUACGUGAUAAUCUUUACCGAUUAUACUACCAUAUGUGCAAUUGUCAAUUCAUGGUGGGGACAGACCAUUGUUAAUUGUUGGUCUCGGUCUUAACUAGGAAUGCCUUGUACGGAUCUUUGGUUCAACAAACCAUCCGGAAUACGUCCCUGCCCUUUGUACACACCGCCCGUC